UCCUCUGCAGUGUCUGUUGGACCACUUCCUAUGUAUCAGCCUCAGUUUAAUUAUGACACUCAAACUAAAACCUUGUGAUGCCGCUCACAGUAUUUGAACUUUGUUUUAAUGAGCUGUGAUGAUGGUGCGACCACAGAGGGAGUCUUUUUGAUUAGCUUGAUUCUGUCUUCAUUUAUGCAGAGACAUGACUUCAUCACUUGGAAACGUCUGGGUUUGUAUAUUUUUUCUGAUUUACUGGUCCACCUGCUUUCUCCCAGUAAAUGCAGUGCAUCAGCUUCGUGCCUUGCUGGGAUGUCGAGUACUGAUACCUUGUCAUGAUCGCAGUGCUGACUCAGACUCUUUCAAAUGGUUUUACAAGGAGAAUGAGCUCAGUAAAGGAACCCAGCUAUACUUUCAGAAUAAGAAUGGAGUAAAACACUAUGAUACCGGUCGUCCAAAAGUAGACAUCAUGCCAAAUCGCUCCCUGUCCAUCAAUAAAUUUACUGAUAAAGAUCAGGGCACGUACUGGUGUGAAAACUGUCUUCAAGAUGUCUGCAAGAGCAACCUGUCCAACUUCACUACUGUGAAGAGAGAAAUUCUGAAAGAAAUUCAAAAGGCAUUUUACAUCAUUUCAGGCAGGAGUUUCACUCAUCAAUGCCCAGGUGAAUUUUCUAAUUUAAAUUGGACUUUUGAAGCCACUAAUAUGAACAAAAGGAAAUUAGAACAAAGAUCAAAAAUGGUCACCCUUAAUACCAGCAAGAUAUUGCAUAUUGAACACGUCACAAAUACAAAUUCUGGCAAAUACACUUGCUGGGCGAGUAUCUGUGGUGGCCCGAGUCAAAAACUGAUCACUAUCAACUUAUGUGUCAUCACAGGUGAGGAAAUGAUAUUUUUUUCCGAAAUAUUUUAUUGGUUGAAAAAUGUUUAUUUUACACUAUUGUCUUUCUCUCAAGAUACUUCAAGUCUUCUGAUGAGGAAUCGAACAAUAUCAGUAGACGAGGACCCAUCGGGGUGGUUAAUCUGCAAUUUAAGUUUGAACUUGGAUGGGCACAUAACAACUACCGGUAUCUACACAUCAUUAGCCGCUUUAAACACAACAGUGGUGGGUUGCGAGGAAGCUGGUGCCUAUCUCCAGCAGUCUAUGGGCGAGAGGCAGGGUACACCAUGGACAAGUCGCCAGUCUGUCGCAGGGCAACUAAAUGUUGUAUUUUUCUCAAAUUUUCACUGUUAUAUAUUUAGGGUUUUUGCACAUCUUUACAGCAAUGCUAGCAAAUAUGUCAAUGUCUGUAUGUUAUAUAAAGAUUGCUUCUUACUGAGUUUUAUUUUUUACAGGUGUAUCUGAGAAGAUUGACUAUUUUAUGCCAGUUAUUUAUGGAGUAUCAGUUGCCUUAACAUUUUUUAUUUUACUGGGAAUUUUAACUUUCUAUUUGAAAUCAAGAAUACAAGCUGCAUUUCCUUUUCAUCUUGCACGUUGCUUCACUGGUGAGGCAGAAGAGGAGUCCACCGUAAUUUAUGGAUCUGUUAUCAUCAGGACACCGCCAAAAACAAGAAACCAACACACAUAUGUCAGCGAUUGCAUUUAUAGUGAAUUAAAAGUGUAGAGGAAAUACCCCGGGUUAAGACAAAUACUAAAUGGAACAGUUGGUGAUUGUAAUUUCCACACAAUCAGUAAAUUUUGUAACGGAUUCCACAGCAGUGACUUGUGUCACUGGUGUCUUCUUUUUCCAGUUUUCUACUGGAAACUACUGAAUGACUGAUGGUUGAGUAAUUCCCAGAGGUUAAUUGAGAGACUGCCGUACGUUAAUAUUUCAGUCAGCACAGCGAAGGGCAACUACUUUAAGGAAUCUAAACUAUAAAACAUAUAAGUUCUUUUACAAUUUUUAGUUUGCUACAUAAUUCCAUUUGUGUUCAUUCACAGUGUUAAUGCCUUUAGUGAGAAUUUACAUACAAUUUAAAUAGUCAUAAGCAUAAAGAAAACCAUUAAAUGAGAAAGUGUGUCUAAAACAUUUGACUGCUAGUGUAUAGAAAGACAAGACAGGCUAUGUAUAUACAGUAUAUAUGCAUAUGUACAUAUACUACUUGAUAAGUAGUAUGUAUAUUAUUGACAAUAAAAGGUAUCCAUUACUAACUCCUGUAGAUAAUAUUCCCAAAAAAUGUUUAACUGAGUAAGAUUACUCAUGCUUGAGUAAACCCAUUCAUGCUACCUACAUUAUUAUUGCAAUCAAUAUUGUUAUGAUAAUAUUAUUAUUAUUACCCUUUAUAAGGUAUAAUUUUCUGCACUUUGCUGUAUUUAAUACACAAUGUACAUACUAUCCCAGUUUUGUUCUUGUUUUGUUUUUAAAAGGGCCCUUGUACAUGACAAAAUUGCAAUAAUGAAUGUAUUUUAUUUUAUUUUCUGUUGUUUGGUUUGUAAAAUGCUGGCACUACACAGUAAUUGAAGUGGCUUUAAAUGAAAACUUAAGUCACUGCAAAAUGAAAAUGAAGAAAAGAGAGACUGGAAUAAAGAUUUGUUGAGAAAACCAACUA